GAAGUUUGCUGAGGACCUUUCCAGAGAAGAGAGGGAGCGCUGGAGCAAGUUGUGGCCCAUUAUUGAGAAGGCUCGCAGAGAAAAUAAAAAGGCCUAUUACGUCGGAUGCCGGGGUUUUGUUAAUGGGACGGAAGUUUUCCCGUCUUCAGAAUGAGAGAAAGCCAUUCUGUAUCUGCUGAUGUGAACUUCUGGAAGUCUCAGUGGGGUAACGAUGUUUGGUAUUCGCACGGCACAGAGAGGUCAGCUGGGGUCACAACUCUCAAAGGUAGCUUCGAAGGUAUUGUUCUACAUUCAGAUUGUGACUCUUUGGGUCAUUAUAUUUGUCUGGUAGUAGAAUACAAUCACUCCAUUUUCAUAAUUGUCAAUUUAUAUGGCUAUAAUACCAAACCUGAAAAUGAUAAUUUAAUUGACUCUUUAGAUACAAGGAUUAGUUUUUGGCUCUCUAAAUAUCCCAGUUCAAAUUUAAUAAUUGGAGGAGAUUUUAAUGUUUCACUGAAUGACACUAUAGAUAGAUGGGCCCCAGCACAACAUUUUAGGAAAAAUUUGAGAUUGGAAACAUUUAUGGAUAAAUUUAAUGUAACUGAUAUUUGGAGAGACAAAUUUCCUGAUGAUAUAUCAUUUACCUGGAGUAACCGUUCUGGUUCAAGGAAAUUGCGUAUUGAUUUCUGGUUAAUAUCAAGUAGUCUAUCAAAGGACAGUGUCACGGUCAAUAUCCUUACAACUCCACUUACGGACCAUAGAGCAAUAUAUAUUAA